UGCCAAAGCUAGCCAUGGUGGGGGUAGGGGAGCGCCGCUUGUGGGGAGCUGACCAAGUGUGGUGUCGGCCGCCCUGCCUGCCAACAGACAGCAACACUGGUUUUCCACUGCCGGCCAUUCACUGGACUUGGACAGCUUUGUUCCUUCUCUGGGACCAAGUCAACAAGCUGGGACCAGAGGAGCUGCGGCUGUAGCACGCAGGGACCGAACAAAAGAGCAAAUAUACAGAUAUCCCUGGAAGCCAGAGUUCUUGGAAGGAAGAAAUACACAUACAGAAUGGGAGAAGGCAAGGAAAAACCCUGUAAGGUUGGGAUGCAUUCAGAGAAAUAGAAACUUCUGAUUCCAUAUAGGCCUUCCUUCAUCCCCUCAACCCUCAGCUUUGUGGCCUCUAUCUUGGACUGUCAAAGGCCAAUUUAAACAAUGGUCACACAGAGAUUCACACUUCUCGCAAGCCCCAACUCAAUCUCCUGCCAUGUUUUUCAGGAAAGCGUUAACCCAGUUGUCCUGAGUUGCUCCAACUUUGCAGUUCUCAAGAAAGCCCUAUUCUGUGGUGAGGCCUUAAACAGUUCUUGGGAAUUGAGAUCUUGGAAUGUUCUAACUGCUAGGAAUGCUUUAAACACUUGGGACCUUGAGCCAUAUUAUGCCAGGCUUUCUAAAUAGUUUGUAUGAGGAAUGUGAUUUAUGAACAAACUCAUUUCCUUUGGGGACCUGGAUCUUCAGCAACUGUGGUCAGUCCUACAGAUACUAUAUCCCUUUGUAACCAACCCACAAUGAAAAUUGUGAACUUAUAGGCUUAGACAAGUCUCUGUAAUAGACAAAACUUUACAUGCACCUUCACAAUUUAUUCUUGGAAGAAUUAAGUGCAUCUUAUGUGUAUUAAGUGUAUUUUCUAGUGACUCCACUAGAAGAAUAUUCUUAGAAGCUUGUGCCUGAUUUUCUCCAAACGUUACCCAUACACCUUUUCUCUUCACUGAUUUUUCUUGGGACCCUUUACUAUAAUAAACCACAAUCAUGAGUAUAAUGACUUCUAAGUCCUAAAAGCUCUUCUAAUAAAAUCACCAAAACAGGAGUGGUCUUGGGGACCUCCAAAACACUUUGCUUCUAGAGUAAGUUUUUACUGCUAUAAAUUU